GGAUAACCUGCCCUUGGGUCCGGCAUAACCCCGGGAAACUGGGGAUAAUUCCGGAUAACGCACAUAUGCUGGAAUGCUUUAUGCGUAAAAUGGAUUCGUCUGCCCAAGGAUGGGUCUGCGGCCUAUCAGGUAGUAGUGGGUGUAAUGUACCUACUAGCCAACAACGGGUACGGGUUGUGAGAGCAAGAGCCCGGAGAUGGAUUCUGAGACAUGAAUCCAGGCCCUACGGGGCGCAGCAGGCGCGAAAACUUUACAAUGCGGGAAACCGUGAUAAGGGGACACCGAGUGCCAGCGUCAUACGCUGGCUGUCCAGGUGUGUAAAAUACACCUGUUAGCAAGGGCCGGGCAAGACCGGUGCCAGCCGCCGCGGUAACACCGGCGGCCCGAGUGGUGAUCGUGAUUAUUGGGUCUAAAGGGUCCGUAGCCGGUUUGGUCAGUCCUCCGGGAAAUCUGAUAGCUCAACUAUUAGGCUUUCGGGGGAUACUGCCAGACUUGGAACCGGGAGAGGUAAGAGGUACUACAGGGGUAGGAGUGAAAUCUUGUAAUCCCUGUGGGACCACCUGUGGCGAAGGCGUCUUACCAGAACGGGUUCGACGGUGAGGGACGAAAGCUGGGGGCACGAACCGGAUUAGAUACCCGGGUAGUCCCAGCCGUAAACGAUGCUCGCUAGGUGUCAGGCAUGGCGCGACCGUGUCUGGUGCCGCAGGGAAGCCGUGAAGCGAGCCACCUGGGAAGUACGGCCGCAAGGCUGAAACUUAA
rnacentral:rRNA from 1 species